rnacentral:rRNA from 1 species
AGUGAACGCUGGCGGUAGGCCUAACACAUGCAAGUCGAACGGCAGCACAGUAAGAGCUUGCUCUUACGGGUGGCGAGUGGCGGACGGGUGAGGAAUACAUCGGAAUCUACUUUUUCGUGGGGGAUAACGUAGGGAAACUUACGCUAAUACCGCAUACGACCUACGGGUGAAAGCAGCGGAUCUUCGGACCUUUCGCGAUUGAAUGAGCCGAUGUCGGAUUAGCUAGUUGGCGGGGUAAAGUCCCACCACGGCGACGAUCCGUAGCUGGUCUGAGAGGAUGAUCAGCCACACUGGAACUGAGACACGGUCCAGACUCCUACGGGAGGCAGCAGUGGGGAAUAUUGGACAAUGGGCGCAAGCCUGAUCCAGCCAUACCGCGUGGGUGAAGAAGGCCUUCGGGUUGUAAAGCCCUUUUGUUGGGAAAGAAAAGCAGCAGGUUAAUACCACGCUGUUCUGACGGUACCCACAGAAUAAGCACCGGCUAACUUCGUG